UGGGGAAUAUUGCACAAUGGGCGCAAGCCUGAUGCAGCCAUGCCGCGUGUGUGAAGAAGGCCUUCGGGUUGUAAGCACUUUCAGCGAGGAGGAAGGUGGUGAACUUAAUACGUUCAUCAAUUGACGUUACUCGCAGAAGAAGCACCGGCUAACUCCGUGCCAGCAGCCGCGGUAAUACGGGAGGGUGCAAGCGUUAAUCGGAAUUACUGGGCGUAAAGCGCACGCAGGCGGUUUGUUAAGUCAGAUGUGAAAUCCCCGGGCUCAACCUGGGAACUGCAUUUGAAACUGGCAAGCUAGAGUCUCGUAGAGGGGGGUAGAAUUCCAGGUGUAGCGGUGAAAUGCGUAGAGAUCUGGAGGAAUACCGGUGGCGAAGGCGGCCCCC
rnacentral:rRNA from 1 species